rnacentral:misc_RNA from 1 species
AAAGUCCUCCGGGAACCUUCAUCCUGCUCUUGUAACCCGCGUAGUUCGCAAUCUCUGAUAAAUCAUAGCCCGGAAAGUUGUAGUGCCUCUGGCUACGUGCGAACAUUGGAACAGUUACAAUCGAGCGGUAGUUCUAUAGGCAAUGUUUCCCCAAGCAGUCAGUGUCGGAAAGUGUCAUUGAUUGUGCAAGGAUAGCGCUUCUACGAUUCCUGUAGACCGUACACUCGGGCAGGAGCUUUGCCAAAGGGUCCCCAUGCCCCCUAAUAACCCCACAGUUUAAUGUGAAGCUCAAUGUAAUACAUUGGGUAAAAAAACCGAACAACUGUUAACAAUGGAUAUCUUGGUUCUC